rnacentral:rRNA from 1 species
UACGUAGGGGGCAAGCGUUGUCCGGAGUUACUGGGCGUAAAGGGCACGCAGGCGGUUGUGUCAGUUUGCGGGGACAGUGGGUGGCUUAACUGCCCAAGGGUCGCAAAGACGGCACGACUGGAGAGCGAGAGAGGGACCUGGAACUCCGGGUGGAGCGGUGAAAUGCGUAGAGAUCCGGAGGAACACCGAAGGCGAAGGCAGUGUCCUGGCGAGUGACUGACGCUGAGGUGCGAAAGCCAGGGGAGCGAACGGG